UUCUGUACGUAAUGACUGGACUAAUAAAGCUUGUAAGGAAAGUAAAUUGAAGUGAAGAAUCUUAUAUUGCCUGUAAACUGGGAUGAUAUUGAAGCUUAUAAGAGAAGAAUGAGGAACUGGGAGGCUAUGAACACUUGUACAAGAGAAAUAAUGUGGAGUUUCUGUACGAAUCGACUGGAAACUUGACCACUAAUAAAGCUUGUAAGGAGAAUAAAAUGAAGUAAAGAAUCUUAUAUUGCCUGAAAACUGGGAUGAUAUUGAAGCUUAUAAGAGAAGAAUGAAGAACUUGGAGGCUACGAAAGCUUGUACGAGAGAAGUAAUAUGGAGUUUCUAUGUCUUGGCGGGAAACUAUACCAUUAAUAAAGCUUGUAAGGAAAGUAAGUUGAAGUGAAGAAUCUUAUAAUGCCUGAAAACUGGGAUGAUAUUGAAGCUUAUAAGAGGAAAAUGAAGAACUGCGAGGCUAUGAAGAGCUUGUACGAGAGAAAUAAGUGAACGAUAUUGGCUGUAAAGGCUAGGAUGAUACUUAAGUUUAUAUAGAGAUGAAUUAUUAAGUGAAAAAUAUCGACUGUGAACUGGGAAAAGUUUCGUUUAGUCGGCGCGAUAUCUGUGGUCAUAUGCCGGAGAGAGACUGGGAUAUACUACUGAAGCUUAUAAGGGAAAAAUGUUGAAGGAAAAAUCUCUAUGUUGCUCGUAAACUAGAACACUGAUGAAGCUUGUAAGAGGGAAAAUAGAAGGGAAAUUGAUCCUACUGAAGCUUGUACGAGAAUUUUUAAUACAUGAAAGAUACUGGCCGAAAACUAUGAGGCUACGAAGCUUGUAAUAAAAGUGAACAAGUUAAAAGUAUUGCCUGUAAACUGAUGAAUUAUUAAGUGAAAAAUAUCGACUGUGAACUGGGAAAAGUUUCGUUUAGUCGGCGCAACAUCUGUGGUCAUAUGCCGGAGAUAAACUGGGAUAUACUACUGAAGCAUAUAAGGGAAAAAUGUCGAAGGAAAAAUCUCUGUAUAUUGCUUGUAAACUAGAACACUAAUGAAGCUUGUAAGAGGGAAAAUAGAAGGGAAAAUGAUCCUACUGAGAAUUUUUAAUACGUGAAAGAUACGGGCCGAAAACUAUGAGGCUACGAAGCUUGUAAUAAAAGUGAACAAGUUAAAAGUAUUGCCUGUAAACUAAUGCUAUGGAAGCUUGUAAGAGAUGAAGGAAUAGGUGAAAAAUAUGGUAAAUGAAUAUAGAGUCAAUUUUUUUUAUAUUAGAUGUGAACUAGAACAUUACCGAGGGUUUUAAGGGAUGAAUUGAUAGGAGAGUAAUAUAGGCUUGUAAACUAAUGCUAUGGAUGCUUGUAAGAGAUAGGGAAAAGGAAAAAAAAUGAGAGAAAUGAAUACCAAGUUAUUUUUUUUAUAUUAACUGUAGACUAGAACACUACCGAGGCUUUUAAGAGAUGAAUUGAUAAGAGAGUAAUAUAGGCUUGUAAACUAAUGCUAUGGAUGCUUGUAAGAGAUAGGGAACAGUUGGAAUAAUGAGAGAAAUGAAUACAGAGUUAUUUUUUUUAUAUUAACUGUAGACUAGAACAUUACCGAGGCUUUUACGAGAUGAGUUGAUAGGAGAGUAAUAUAGGCUUGUAAACUAAUGCUAUGGAUGCUUGUAAGAGAUAGGGAAAAGUUGGAAUAAUGAGAGAAAUGAAUACAGAGUUAUUUUUUUUAUAUUAACUGUAGACUAGAACAUUACCGAGGCUUUUUGGAGAUGAAUUGAUAGGAGAGUAAUAUAGACUUGUAAACUAAUGCUAUGGAUGCUUGUAAGAGAUAGGGAAAAGGAAAAAAAAUGAGAGAAAUGAAUACCAAGUUAUUUUUUUUAUAUUAACUGUAGACUAGAACAUUACCGAGGCUUUUAAGAGAUGAAUUGAUAAGAGAGUAAUAUAGGCUUGUAAACUAAUGCUAUGGAUGCUUGUAAGAGAUAGGGAAAAGUUGAAAUAAGAGAGAAAUGAAUAUCGAGUUAUUUUUUUUAUAUUAACUGUAGACUAGAACAUUACCGAGGCUUUUAAGAGAUGAAUUGGUAAGAGAGUAAUAUAGACUUGUAAACUAAUGCUAUGGAUGCUUGUAAGAGAUACGGAACAGUUGGAAUAAUGAGAGAAAUGAAUACAGAGUUAUUUUUUUUAUAUUAACUGUAGACUAGAACAUUAUCGAGGCUUUUAAGAGAUGAAUUGAUAGGAGAGUAAUAUAGGCUUGUAAACUAAUGCUAUGGAUGCUUGUAAGAAAUAGGGAAAAGUUGAAAUAAGAGAGAAAUGAAUAUCGAGUUAUUUUUUUUAUAUUAACUGUAGACUAGAACAUUACCGAGGCUUUUACGAGAUGAGUUGGUAGGAGAGUAAUAUAGACUUGUAAACUAAUGCUAUGGAUGCUUGUAAGAGAUACGGAAAAGGUAAAAUAAAUGAGAGAUAUGAAGAAAAUGAAGAAAUAGAAAUAAAAGAAGAAUUAGCCACACACACUGAAUGUAAGUCGGAAAAAGUCGAUCAACCAACCAAAUCGCGGGAAAGAAACAAGAUGAAAAAAGUUAAAAAAUGAGAGAAAUGAAUACCAAGUGAUUGUUUUUUAUAUCAACGGUAAAAAUAAGUGAAUAAGAUGAGCAUUAGCCAAACACGACUGAACGGAAAAAGUCACUCGUCAAUAGUUCAACCCAAAACAUAAACAAGCCCAACAGCCAAUCAGAAGAGAGCAGGAACACCAAUCCACCAAUCACAACCAGGCAGGAAAAUUAUCAGUCACCCGUCAACAGUUCAACCCAAAACAUAAACAAACCCGGCAGCCAAUCAGAAGAGAGCAAGAACACUAAUCCACCAAUCACAACCAGGAAGGAAAUCACAAGUCACUCGUCAACAGUUCAACCCAAAACAUAAACAAACUCGACAGCCAAUCAGUGGAGAGCGAGAACACUAAUCCACCAAUCACAACCAGGUCGGAAAACACAAAUCAACCAAUCAAAUCACAGGAAAAGAACGUAAAAAAACAGGAAAAGGGAAAAAGAAGAAAAUUAAUGAAAAGGAGGAUCAGGAAUGCACAGGUCAGCGAGAGGGAAGAAGAAUUACGUAAAAAAACAGGAAAAAUAAACAAGAAAUACAGAAAUGAAGAUCAGUAUCAACCAUUCACAGGAUAUAAGGAGAAUCAAAUAUUUAUACCCACAACCGAAUAUGAGAAUCGUCAACCGGAAAAACAAGAAAAAUAAACAAUAAAAGAAAUACAGAAAUGAAGACGAGUAUCAACCAUUCACAGGAUAUAAUGAGUGUCAAAUAUCUAAACCUACAACCGAACAUGAGAGUCGUCAACCGGAAAAACAAGAAAAAUAAACAACAAGAAAUAAAGAAAGGAAAACCAGUAUCAACCAUUCACAGGAUAUCAGGAGAAUCAAAUAUUUAUACCCACAACCGAAUAUGAGAAUCGUCAACCGGAAAAACAAGAAAAAUAAACAACAAGAAAUAAGGAAAUAAAGACCAGCAUCAACUAUUCAGGAUAUCAAGAGAAUCAAAUAUUUAUACCGACAACCGAACAUGAGAAUCGUCAACCGGAAAAACAGGAAAAAUAAACAACAA